UACACUCCUGCGGGAGGCAGCAGUGGGGAAUAUUGCACAAUGGGCGCAAGCCUGAUGCAGCCAUGCCGCGUGUAUGAAGAAGGCCUUCGGGUUGUAAAGUACUUUCAGCGGGGAGGAAGGCGAUAAGGUUAAUAACCUUGUCGAUUGACGUUACCCGCAGAAGAAGCACCGGCUAACUCCGUGCCAGCAGCCGCGGUAAUACGGAGGGUGCAAGCGUUAAUCGGAAUUACUGGGCGUAAAGCGCACGCAGGCGGUCUGUCAAGUCGGAUGUGAAAUCCCCGGGCUCAACCUGGGAACUGCAUUCGAAACUGGCAGGCUAGAGUCUUGUAGAGGGGGGUAGAAUUCCAGGUGUAGCGGUGAAAUGCGUAGAGAUCUGGAGGAAUACCGGUGGCGAAGGCGGCCCCCUGGACAAAGACUGACGCUCAGGUGCGAAAGCGUGGGGAGCAAACAGGAUUAGAUACCCGGGUAGUCC
rnacentral:rRNA from 1 species